AGACAACUCACUGGCACAGAGUUAACUGCAUUUUAUGGUGUGCCCGCUGUGUCAUGGAGCUUCAUGAACAAGAUUUCAUCUUUGAAGGUGAGAAAAUGAAGCCUUGGAGAGUUCUGCAAUUGGUUCAAGGUCACUGCUUUGAACCACCACAUUCAACCACAGGCAGACCUGACCUAUUCUUGGAGGAUGGAACCUGCACCUCCAGAGGAGCCCUUACAGUUAAGCCCUGGGUCUGAGCUGCUCAGAAGCUGGCAGAAGACAGGCUUCCUUCAUCCCUGGGGCAUCAGCUCUGAGAUGGUGGAAUACAGAAGAUAUAUCUGGAACUUCUGCAGCCAUUUUGCCACCAUGAGAGAAGAUGACUCGAAAGAAGGCAGAGAGGAGAAAAGAGAGUACCAGAUCCCUGAUGAUAUUGUUUAGCCAUUGAAUCCAACCAGCUCUGAAGUCUGUCUUUCCUCAAGAGCUUCCAAGUCCUGAGUGGA